rnacentral:rRNA from 1 species
AGUUCGAUCAUGGCUCAGAUUGAACGCUGGCGGAUGCUUGCACAUGCAAGUCGAACGGCAGCACGGACUUCGGUCUGGUGGCGAGUGGCGAACGGGCGAGUAAUGUAUCGGAACGUGCCUAGUAGCGGGGGAUAAUCCGCGCGAAAGCGUAGCUAAUACCGCAUACGCCCUUCGGGGAAAGCGGGGACCUUCGGGCCUCGCACUAUUAGAGCGGCCGAUAUCGGAUUAGCUAGCUGGUGGGGUAACGGCUCACCAAGGCGACGAUCCGUAGCUGGUUUGAGAGGACGACCAGCCACACUGGGACUGGAGACAGGCCCAGACUCCUACGGGAGGCAGCAGUGGGGGAAUUUUGGACAAUGGGGAAACCCUGAUCCAGCCAUCCCGCGUGUGCGAUGAAGGCCUUCGGGUUGUAAAGCACUUUGGCAGGAAAGAAACGGCACGGGAUAAUACCCCGUGCAACUGACGGUACCUGCAGAAUAAGCACCGGCUAACUACGUGCCAGCAGCCGCGGUAAUACGUAGGGUGCAAGCGUUAAUCGGAAUUACUGGGCGUAAAAGCGUGCGCACGGCGGUUCGGAAAGAAAGAUGUGAAAACUUCAGAGCUAACUUGGAACUGCAUUUUUAACUACCGAGCUAGAGUGUGUCAGAGGGAGGUGGAAUUCGCGUGUAGCAGUGAAAUGCGUAGAUAUGCGGAGGAACACCGAUGGCGAAGGCAGCCUCCUGGGAUAACACUGACGUCAUGCACGAAAGCGUGGGGAGCAAACAGGAUUAGAUACCCUUGGUAGUCCACGCCCUAAACGAUGUCAACUAGCUGUUGGGGCUCGCCUGGUAGCGCAGCUAACGUGUGAAGUUGACCGCCUGGGAGUACGGUCGCAAGAUUAAAACUCAAAGGAAUUGACGGGACCCGCACAAGCGGUGGAUGAUGUGGAUUAAUUCGAUGCAACGCGAAAAACCUUACCUACCCUUGACAUGUCUGGAAUCCCGAAGAGAUUUGGGAGUGCUCGCAAGAGAACUGGGAACACAGGUGCUGCAUGGCUGUCGUCAGCUCGUGUCGUGAGAUGUUGGGUUAAGUCUCAUAACGAGCGCAACCUUUGUCAUUAGUUGUUACGAAAAGGGCACUCUAAUGAGACUGCCGGUGACAAACCGGAGGAAGGUGGGGAUGACGUCAAGUCCUCAUGGCCCUUGCGGCAGGGCUUCACGUCAUACAAUGGUUUACCGGGACAGAGGUCGCCAACCCGCGAGGGGGAGCCAAUCCCAGAAACCCGAUCGUAGUCCGACCGCAGUCUGCACCACCUGCGUGGAAGUCGGAAUCGCUAGUAAUCGCGGAUCAGCAUGCGUGCGCCGCGUGAAUACGCCCCGGGUCUUGUACACCGCCCGGUCACGACCAUGGGGGAGUGGGUUUUACCGUGAAGCGCAGUUAGCCUAACCGUAAGGAGGGCGAUUUACCACGGUAGGAUUCAGACUGUGGGGUGAAGUCGUAACAAGGUAA